AUUUGCCAACCGGCAUCUGAAACUAUUCAAUUUCCUGGGCCCAAAACGAAUUCAAUUUGCCCAAGGACCCGACCCGGGAAAGUAAGUUUUAUUGCCACCCCAUUUCGGCAGAAGCCAAGCCAGCAUUGGUCCUUCGUCCUGCGAUGCCUGCGCAGACGGAAGUCACAACUAUCCCAAGUCGGCAUGCGGGCACGCCUCCUCCAAACAUUCGUCCUUUGCCCAUUUCACCCCAUCCCAAGCCCAACCCAAUCCCAAUCCCGGCCCAUCCCCGAGAAAGUUGCGACUUUUUGGCCACACCAAAGACGCCAUAUUAGAUUGGAGUUCGCAUCGGAGCAGGAGGACAAUGAACGGCCGGCUGAAUUCAAUUUGCAUUUUACUGCUAGUUACAAAUAUUUGUCUGGAUAAUUUUGGGUUGGGGGAAUGAGUUAUUGAAUUAGUCAAGGGUUUCGUGUGUCUUGGCCAAACCUCCGCCCCAGAAGUGAGAUAUUAAUUUCGAUGGAGAGGGGC
ensembl:ncRNA lncRNA:CR45055 long non-coding RNA:CR45055